rnacentral:rRNA from 1 species
AGCGGAUCUUCAUUAGCUUGCUUUUGAAGAUCAGCGGCGGACGGGUGAGUAACACGUGGGCAACCUGCCUGUAAGACUGGGAUAACUUCGGGAAACCGGAGCUAAUACCGGAUAAUCCUUUCCCUCACAUGAGGGAAAGCUGAAAGACGGUUUCGGCUGUCACUUACAGAUGGGCCCGCGGCGCAUUAGCUAGUUGGUGAGGUAACGGCUCACCAAGGCAACGAUGCGUAGCCGACCUGAGAGGGUGAUCGGCCACACUGGGACUGAGACACGGCCCAGACUCCUACGGGAGGCAGCAGUAGGGAAUCUUCCGCAAUGGACGAAAGUCUGACGGAGCAACGCCGCGUGAACGAUGAAGGCUUUCGGGUCGUAAAGUUCUGUUGUUAGGGAAGAACAAGUACCGGAGUAACUGCCGGUACCUUGACGGUACCUAACCAGAAAGCCACGGCUAACUACGUGCCAGCAGCCGCGGUAAUACGUAGGUGGCAAGCGUUGUCCGGAAUUAUUGGGCGUAAAGCGCGCGCAGGCGGUUCCUUAAGUCUGAUGUGAAAGCCCCCGGCUCAACCGGGGAGGGUCAUUGGAAACUGGGGAACUUGAGUGCAGAAGAGGAGAGCGGAAUUCCACGUGUAGCGGUGAAAUGCGUAGAGAUGUGGAGGAACACCAGUGGCGAAGGCGGCUCUCUGGUCUGUAACUGACGCUGAGGCGCGAAAGCGUGGGGAGCGAACAGGAUUAGAUACCCUGGUAGUCCACGCCGUAAACGAUGAGUGCUAAGUGUUAGAGGGUUUCCG